rnacentral:lncRNA from 1 species
AGGUCAAACUAACAACAACCAAUCAGGCAAAUCAAACCAACAGAAAACAAUUUCUAUAGUUUUUAGAUGCAUUAGUAUUGUAUUGUUAGAUGCAUGUGUGAUAAAAAGGGACACUUUGUGUGUGUUGUUUGCAGAGGUAUUUUUUGCAGGUGAAGCACAAUGUGCUUAUUGCCAGGGCAGACCUGAUUCCUCUUUCUUUUAGGAUCAGAUGGUCUCACUGGGGUUGUGGCUGUUGAGGCGGGGCUGGUUGAGGAGGAUGCUGGUGAUGGUGCUCUUUGUGUUGCUGUGGGUGUGGAAGAAGAGCUUGUUGAGCAUAAAGACCACAGAGAGGACUUUACACCUGACACUCAACCUGAAACCUCUCAGCAGCCCACUAACCCAGCACAGCCUUCAGCACAGCCUUCAGCACAGCCCCCAGCACAGCCUUCAGCACAGCCUCUAUGCCGCUUCUAUUCCCAGGGACGCUUUUGCCACUUUGGAAAGAGGUGCCACUUCCUCCACCAGAGGUUCAGCCAUGCUCCUCCUCCACCCCCACAGCAGCAGGCAGAGGAGAGAGAGGAUGGAGCUUCUGAGAAGGAAGGGCGCUCGGCCUCCUCCGACCCGAGAACAGCUCCAUCCAGACCGGUGCGAGCCCAGAGGCCGUGCCGGUACUUCAUGUCCGGGUUCUGCAGUAUGGAGGACCGCUGCCGGUUCUGGCAUCCGCAGAAGUUUCCUCCAGUGGAGGAGCAGCCGGCAGCACCCAGAGACAGCAGCAGUAAUGGAGCGAGACCGGUAUCCAGCCGGCCUCCUACAGUUAAAGAGCAGAUCAGACUGGCUGAUCUAACUGAGGAGCUGAUCAGGAAGCUCCGGGAGACAGAGAUCUCCCAGCUGAAGAAGAGAUUUCCUAAAGACAAGCUCAUCAUUCAGGAGAGAGAGGACGGCCAGCUCACCUACUACCGGCUCACUGUGGAGGCCACAGAUCCUGAAUGGGUAAAACCAUCUCCAAAUAACACAUAAAUAUACUGAAGUUGCAAUAUUUUGUUGCUCUGCGAUUUGUAUUGCAGUAUUUUAAAAACUAUUAUAUUAACAAUUUCCUCUGUGUAUCAAAGAUUUGAGUAAAAUAAUUGGAGAUGCAUCUAAAAGAACAUUUACAUAGUAAAAUAAGCAAAGUUAAAAAUGUUUGUCUAAAAGUCCA